UACGAGGGGGGCGAGCGUUGUUCGGAAUUAUUGGGCGUAAAGGGUGCGUAGGCGGUUCCGCAAGUCCCGUGUGAAAUCUUCGGGCUCAACUCGAAGUCUGCACGGGAAACUGCGGGGCUUGAGUGUGGGAGAGGUGAGUGGAAUUCCCGGUGUAGCGGUGAAAUGCGUAGAUAUCUGGAGGAACACCGGUGGCGAAGGCGGCAUCCUGGACCGGCAUUGACGCUGAGUGAGCGAAAGCCAGGGGAGCAAAGCGGG
rnacentral:rRNA from 1 species